UGUACUUUUUGAGAAUACUAAGGAAAAACCAUCUUCCGCAGAAACUGCUGCUUGCCUUCUAUCACUGUGCCAUUGAGAGCGUGCUCACUUAUGGCUUAUGUGUGUGGUACGGAAGCUGUACUACCCAGGACAGGAUGGGGUUGUGCAGGGUUGUUAAGGCAGCAGAGAGCAUUGUUGGCUGCCCACUCUCCACCUUAGAGCAGAUUUAUGCCACAAGGUGCCAUAGGAAGGCACUGGACAUAGUAAAAGAUCCAUCGCAUCCUGGUCACUGUCUCUUCGAGCUCUUGCCGUCGGGACGGAGAUACAGGACGAUGAAGACAAGAACGAGCCGUCUUAAGAACAGCUUCUUCUCCAGAGCGAUCUCGGCCCUGAAUGGGAAGCCCGGACUUUGAAAGUCAUCUAAUCUCCCUUGCUGUAUUAUACUGUAUUGUUUAAUUAGUGUUUUUAUGGAGCAGUCAAGUAAUUUCGUUGUCCCCGAAGGGGGGCAAUGACAAUAAAGAUAUUAUUAUUAUU